UAAGGAAUAUUGGUCAAUGGACGCAAGUCUGAACCAGCCAUGCCGCGUGAAGGAUGAAGGUCCUCUGGAUUGUAAACUUCUUUUAUCUGGGACGAAAACGGGAUUUUUAUCUCAAUUGACGGUACCAGAGGAAUAAGCACCGGCUAACUCCGUGCCAGCAGCCGCGGUAAUACGGAGGGUGCGAGCGUUAUCCGGAUUUACUGGGUUUAAAGGGUGCGUAGGUGGGCUUAUAAGUCAGUGGUGAAAUCUCCGAGCUUAACUUGGAAACUGCCGUUGAUACUAUAGGUCUUGAAUUAUCUGGAGGUAAGCGGAAUAUGUCAUGUAGCGGUGAAAUGCGCAGAUACAGGAAGGAACGCCAAUAGCGAAAGCAGCUACCUGAACGAUUUGUGACGCUGAGGCGCGAAAGCGUGGGGAGCAAACC
rnacentral:rRNA from 1 species